AGAGAUAGGAAGGUAUUAUCAAAAACAGUCGAUAAACACAGAGUUGGAUCCCUGAUCCUCACCAAACUUCCAGGAUCCAUGUGUAGGCAGGACAUCACAUCUGAAUACAAAAAUGAGAGCGCUGACAUGCCAUUUUGGGAAUCACAUGCUGCUGGUGGCAUGCUGUUUAGGGAA